rnacentral:tRNA from 2 species
GCCUCCAUGGUCAAGCGGUCAAGACGCUGCCCUCUCAAGGCAGAAUCAUGGGUUCGAUUCCCAUUGGAGGUGCCA